rnacentral:rRNA from 1 species
CCUACGGGUGGCAGCAGUGAGGAAUAUUGGUCAAUGGGCGGGAGCCUGAACCAGCCAAGUCGCGUGAGGGAAGACGGUCCUACGGAUUGUAAACCUCUUUUGCCGGGGAGCAACGGGGUCCUUGCGAGGGCCCAAUGAGAGUACCCGGAGAAAAAGCAUCGGCUAACUCCGUGCCAGCAGCCGCGGUAAUACGGAGGAUGCGAGCGUUAUCCGGAUUUAUUGGGUUUAAAGGGUGCGCAGGCGGAGGUGCAAGUCAGCGGUCAAAUUGCGGGGCUCAACCCCGUACUGCCGUUGAAACUGCAUCCCUUGAGUGUGCGAGAAGUAUGCGGAAUGCGUGGUGUAGCGGUGAAAUGCAUAGAUAUCACGCAGAACUCCGAUUGCGAAGGCAGCAUACCGGCGCGCAACUGACGCUCAUGCACGAAAGCGUGGGUAUCGAACAGGAUUAGAUACCCUUGUAGUC